UUGCGCCUACGGGAGGCAGCAGUGAGGAAUGUUGGUCAAUGGACGGAAGUCUGAACCAGCCAUGCCGCGUGCAGGAAGACGGCUCUAUGAGUUGUAAACUGCUUUUGUACAAGGGUAAACCUGAAUACGUGUAUUCAGCUGAAAGUACUGUACGAAUAAGGAUCGGCUAAAUCCGUGCCAGCAGCCGCGGUAAUACGGAGGAUCCAAGCGUUAUCCGGAUUUAUUGGGUUUAAAGGGUGCGUAGGCGGAUUGAUAAGUUAGAGGUGAAAUGUCCGAGCUUAACUCGGGAACUGCCUCUAGUACUU
rnacentral:rRNA from 1 species